CCUCGGGUGGCUGCAGUGAGGAAUAUUGGUCAAUGGUCGGGAGACUGAACCAGCCAAGCCGCGUGAGGGAUGAAGGUACAGAGUAUCGUAAACCUCUUUUGUCAGGGAACAAAGGCGGGGACGUGUCCCCGGACGAGCGUACCUGAAGAAAAAGCAUCGGCUAACUCCGUGCAAGAAGCCGCGGUAAUAGGGAGGAUGCGAGGGUGAUCCGGAUUUAUUGGGUUUAAAGGGUGCGCAGGGGGACUGAUAAGUCAGAGGUCAAAGCCGGGGGGUAAUCCCCGGCCCGCCGUUGAAACUGGCCGUCUCGAGUGGGAGAGGGGUGUGCGGAAUGCGCGGUGUAGCGGUGAAAUGCGUAGAUAUCGCGCGGAACUCCGAUUGCGAAGGCAGCAUGCCGGCUCCACACUGACGCUGAGGCACGAAAGCGUGGGUAUCGAACAGGAUUAGAUACCCGAGUAGUC
rnacentral:rRNA from 1 species